rnacentral:rRNA from 1 species
UACGUAGGGUCCAAGCGUUAAUCGGAAUUACUGGGCGUAAAGGGUGCGUAGGUGGUCGAGUAAGUCUGAUGUGAAAUCUUCGAGCUCAACCCGAAAAUGGCAUUGGAUACUAUUCGGCUGGAGGGUUGGAAGGGGGACUGGAAUUCUCGGUGUAGCAGUGAAAUGCGUAGAUAUCGAGAGGAACACCGGUGGCGAAGGCGAGUCCCUGGACAAUCCCUGACACUGAGGCACGAAAGCUAGGGGAGCAAACAGG